CUAUAAAAGAUGUAACAGAUGCAAACUGUAAAACAAGGGCAAUUAACCCUUGCUCUCCUGAGCAGGAUCCCCUCUCGCCUUCUCAUCUAUUGUCUCCUCCAGCACUGGGACUUUUACAUUAUUAUUA
rfam:Callipepla squamata strain Texas jcf7180005234558, whole genome shotgun sequence.